GGGCGCGUGGCGCAGUUGGUAGCGCGCAUGCUUAGCAGUAGCUCGACCGUGGGAACGUGAUUACGUAAUGCAUGAGGGCUAGGGUUCAAAUCCCUACGCGUCCA
rfam:Sistotremastrum suecicum HHB10207 ss-3 unplaced genomic scaffold SISSTscaffold_24, whole genome shotgun sequence.